rfam:Myotis brandtii contig186874, whole genome shotgun sequence.
GGCGGUUCUUGGGUGACACACCCCGGAAUCGGGCUCCCUCCUCUCUGGUUCCACGUGCAUCACCCGAGAACUGUU